UGGCUCAGAGGGUAAAGCGUCUGUCUGCAGUGCAGGAGACCAGGGUUCAAUCCCUG
rfam:Ovis aries breed Texel chromosome 1, whole genome shotgun sequence.